CUACCUAUUAUGCGAGUGUUAAGGUGGAAGAAACCUAAACGCGUAACCGAAAGGGAUGUAAGAUGUGAAGCGCAAGCUGCAACAUCAACCAAUCUUGAUUCUCUGAAGAAGGACUUGAGUAAGAGCAUAAUCGGUAGGACCCGAAAGAUGGUGAACUACGGUUGAAUAGGGUGAAGCCAGGGGAAACUCUGGUGGAGGCUCGAAGCGAUACUGACGUGCAAAUCGUUCGUCAAAAUUUGACUGUAGGGGCGAAAGACUAAUCGAACCAUCUAGUAGCUGGUUCCCUCUGAAAUUUCUCUCAGGAUAGCAGGAACAGAUUAUGCAGUUUUAUCAGGUAAAGCUAAUGAUUAGUGGAAUCGGGGGUCUAGUAUCCUUGACCAAUUCUCAAACUUUAAAUUGGUAAGAACUACGAGUUAUCUUAAUUGAACUCGGAGGUAGAAUGCAUUGUUCUUAGUGGGCCAU
rnacentral:rRNA from 1 species